rnacentral:rRNA from 1 species
AUUAGAUAAAAAACCAAUGCCCUUCGGGGCUCCUUGGUGAUUCAUAAUAACUUAUCGAAUCGCAUGGCCUUGCGCUGGCGAUGGUUCAUUCAAAUUUCUGCCCUAUCAACUUUCGAUGGUAGGAUAGUGGCCUACCAUGGUGGCAACGGGUAACGGGGAAUUAGGGUUCGAUUCCGGAGAGGGAGCCUGAGAACGGCUACCACAUCUAAGGAAGGCAGCAGGCGCGCAAAUUACCCAAUCCCGAUACGGGGAGGUAGUGACAAUAAAUACUGAUACAGGGCUCUUUCGGGUCUUGUAAUUGGAAUGAGUACAAUUUAAACACCUUAACGAGGAGCAAUUGGAGGGCAAGUCUGGUGCCAGCAGCCGCGGUAAUUCCAGCUCCAAUAGCGUAUAUUAAAGUUGUUGCAGUUAAAAAGCUCGUAGUUGAACCUUGGGUCUGGCUGGCCGGUCCGCCUCACCGCGUGCACUGGUCCGGCUGGAUCUUUCCUUCUGGGGAGCCCCAUGGCCCUUUAUUGGC